rnacentral:tRNA from 1 species
GGAAAUAUAGCUCAGUGAUAGAGCACAUGCUUAGCAUACAUCAGGUCCUGGGUUUAUUCCCAAGUACCUCCA